AGUGAACGCUGGCGGCAGGCCUAACACAUGCAAGUCGAGCGGCAGCGCGGGGGCAACCCUGGCGGCGAGCGGCGGACGGGUGAGGAAUUCGUCGGAAUCUGCCUUUUUGUGGGGGAUAACGUAGGGAUACUUACGCUAAUACCGCAUACGUCCUACGGGAGAAAGUGGGGGACCGCAAGGCCUCACGCAGAAAGAUGAGCCGACGACCGAUUAGCUAGUUGGUGGGGUAAAGGCCCACCAAGGCGACGAUCGGUAGCUGGUCUGAGAGGAUGAUCAGCCACACUGGGACUGAGACACGGCCCAGACUCCUACGGGAGGCAGCAGUGGGGAAUAUUGGACAAUGGGCGCAAGCCUGAUCCAGCCAUGCCGCGUGUGUGAAGAAGGCCUUCGGGUUGUAAAGCACUUUUGUCCGGAAAGAAAUCCCUGGAGCUAAUACCUUCGGGGGAUGACGGUACCGGAAGAAUAAGCACCGGCUAACUUCGUG
rnacentral:rRNA from 1 species